AUUGAACGCUGGCGGCAUGCCUUACACAUGCAAGUCGAACGGCAGCACGGGGCAACCUGGUGGCGAGUGGCGAACGGGUGAGUAAUACAUCGGAACGUGCCCAAUCGUGGGGGAUAACGUAGCGAAAGUUACGCUAAUACCGCAUACGAUCUACGGAUGAAAGCGGGGGAUCGCAAGACCUCGCGCGAGUGGAGCGGCCGAUGUCAGAUUAGGUAGUUGGUGGGGUAAAGGCUCACCAAGCCAACGAUCUGUAGCUGGUCUGAGAGGACGACCAGCCACACUGGAACUGAGACACGGUCCAGACUCCUACGGGAGGCAGCAGUGGGGAAUUUUGGACAAUGGGCGCAAGCCUGAUCCAGCCAUGCCGCGUGAGUGAAGAAGGCCU
rnacentral:rRNA from 1 species